UCGAGAUAAUCACUAAAUAGGGUGGCAAGGAAGGCUGCAUUGACAACAUACUGAAGUGGCUGAGGUGCCCCGUGGUUUAACUGGAUCAAUCCUCCUUUGGUUCUGUUAAAGCUUGUAAAAAUUGGCAGGUAAGAACACAUGAUUAUACUGGUCUGGUUGUGAAAUGUCCUUAAUAUUUCUUCAUAUGGAUAUCCAGGGCUCAAGAACAGCCUCAAACGACUCAGAAGCACCUGAGCACC
rnacentral:misc_RNA from 1 species